CCCAACCGGACACAGCCAACCAACUGGGCUACGUGUGGUUUGUUAAUAAGUAUGAAGCGAGAUAUAUAUAAAGUAUAGUUAUAAUGGAAACCCUAGAUUUAAAAGAAAGCUUAAGUGUUUUACCAUAACCCGAAACCUUUUCCCUAAACCUAACUUUCCUCUCUUCCUCUCGCGACGGUGAUCCCUCUCGGGCGAAAACGAAGCUAAGGCUUCAUCUUCGGCGGCCGGCGAGCACUUCUCACCGUGGGUUCUUCACUGAUUCGAAGUCUCCUUGUCGAAGAGAGCUCGUGGACACGAGGAAGGGUUCAAAUCUCGAGUUUGGAGUCACUGCCGAAAACCCUAGAAGCCUCUUCCUCUCCUUCGGUUGUAAGUGCAAGCAAACCGUUAUAAAGGAAAAGCUAAGAUAUGAAGGGAGGCGACAGGGUGGUGGUGAUGAUGAAUGUGUGUGGUGUCUGGACUAUGGAGAGAUCCAGAGGGUUCUAGCAAACCUGCAGGACUUAGUUAUUUAGAGUUUAUGCUCUAAUUCCUUUCUUUAAUUACUGUUAUGAAAAUUAUGAGAUUGUGAUUGAGUUUAUUCUACACUUGUAAUUGGGUUACUUGUGUUAUUUGUGGAGUACCGUAGUUGGUUAUUUAUGCUAGAGUAGUUCUUUCUUUUCA